UGUUGAGCAUUUUCAUUAAAUUUCUUUAAAUAUUUCUUAUUAACACGUUGCCUGCCACAGGACAUCGAUAUGAUCUGCUUCUAUUUGCCAAAAGGGUUUUUAUUAACUUUCUCAAAUCAGAAAGCUGAAAUAUUUGGUGUGGUGGUAUAUAGGUACAUAAUACAUGUAAUCACACUACAAUGUCGUGAUACAAGUUAUCUCAUAGUAAUGCAAAAUGCUCAGAUUGGUUUGCUACGAAGGCUUUGAGGGGAUGUUAUGCAUUAUUUGACUAUGUCUCUUCAUUGUAUGUUUUCUUUAUUUUUUUCAGAUUCACAAAGAACUAUUAUAAAUUUUGAUUUGUAAUAUAUAAGAUGCCAAAAAGCCUUUCCAAUGAAAAAAUUGCUGGAGUGCUUCAGGAACCCGUGGUAAAUGAACUAUCGGAAGAUGAUAUCUUAGAGUCAGAGAGUGAAUACUGAGAUGCUUUGGAUAAAAAUUAGCAAAUACCAGUGGAAGUAAAUACCAGUGAGGCCAGUUCCACUGACGAAGAUGAACAAUUAGUUGCUUGAGGUCAUAAGAGACAACGCAGUUCUCCUGUACCGACAGCACCGAGUUCUCCGGCACCAACUGCAUCGACAUCUAAUACCUGAUAUAUAUAGAUGUUUUACCAAAUAUAUUUCCUGGCUGGUGCCAUGAUAUUAGUUAACUUGUAUUAUUGGGCAAAUAAAAGGUGUCUUUGGUGUUUCCACUACACGCUCACAAUGUUAGAUCCAGAUGCCAGUUCAUUUUAAGCUUGUUACAAUAAAAUAGACCUCUAUGAGUAUGCUCCUACCUGGCAAAAUUGUAUAGAUUGGCUACUACGAGAUAACUCGUUGUUGGCAGUCAAAAUGUUAAAAAGCAGUAACGACAGAAAAAUAAAUGACAGUUUCCUCUGAAUCCAUCCAACGGUUCUUGAGAUAUCUUGUCCACGGACAAACAAACAAACACAACUGAAAACAAUACCUUUGCCUUCACUAAGGUGGAGGUAAUAAUGAUUUCAAAUUUUGGUACAAGGCCAGCAAUUUAGGGGUGGGGCUAAGACGAUUGCAUCAACCCCAAUGUUCAACUGGUACUUAUUUUAUUGACCCCAAAAGGAUGAAAGGUAAAGGGGACCUCGACAGAAUUUAAUAAACAUCAAAGUUUAAAAAGCAAAAAUUAUCUAUAUAGUUAUGUGUGUGUGUGUGUGUUUGGCGGAUAUUAAUUUGCAUAUCUUUCAACAAAAGUUCCAGAAGCAAAAACGAAAAUAAUAUAAAUAUAAAAAAACUGCUGCACUCACACACACACACACGCACACACACACACACGCACAAGCACAAACACACACGUACACACACACACGCACACACACACACACAC
rnacentral:lncRNA from 1 species